GAUGAACGCUGGCGGCGUGCCUAAUACAUGCAAGUCGAGCGAACAGACGAGGAGCUUGCUCCUCUGACGUUAGCGGCGGACGGGUGAGUAACACGUGGAUAACCUACCUAUAAGACUGGGAUAACUUCGGGAAACCGGAGCUAAUACCGGAUAAUAUAUUGAACCGCAUGGUUCAAUAGUGAAAGACGGUUUUGCUGUCACUUAUAGAUGGAUCCGCGCCGCAUUAGCUAGUUGGUAAGGUAACGGCUUACCAAGGCAACGAUGCGUAGCCGACCUGAGAGGGUGAUCGGCCACACUGGAACUGAGACACGGUCCAGACUCCUACGGGAGGCAGCAGUAGGGAAUCUUCCGCAAUGGGCGAAAGCCUGACGGAGCAACGCCGCGUGAGUGAUGAAGGUCUUCGGAUCGUAAAACUCUGUUAUUAGGGAAGAACAAAUGUGUAAGUAACUAUGCACGUCUUGACGGUACCUAAGCAGAAAACCACGGCUAACUACGU
rnacentral:rRNA from 1 species